AGAGCUUAGAGGACCAAAGUUGGAUAAGGGGAAGGAAAAAGUGAUCGAAUAGCCGUCGAAACCGUUCGACAACAUCCGAGGUAAGUCUUCGAGUAAUGACCCUACUUGAAUUAUAUUGAAAUGAUUAUUCAUACUAUGACGGAUAGCCGAAUGUGCAUAGAGACUAUGUUAUAAAGCCAAUUGAAAUCAUGCUCUUUGUGUGUGGCUAUUGAGCCGAAAUUGGAAAGGUUUAAUAAAUGUUUUGUGUUUGAGCCUUAGUAACGAAAAUGAAAUAUGGAUGUGUCAUGAUUAUUGAUAUAUGUGUGCAUGAGCAUUUGAAUGAUAUCCGGGCUAAGUCCCGAAGGCAUUUAUGCUAGUGAUUUUAUCCGGGCUAAGACCCGAAGGCAUUUAUGCUAGUGAUUUUAUCCGGGCUAAGACCCGAAGGCAUUUGUGCGAGUUGAUAUAUCCGGGCUAAGACCCGAAGGCAUUUGUGCGAGUUGCUAUACCCGGGUUAAGACCCGAAGGCAAUUGUGCUUGUGGUUAUAUCCGGCUAAAUUCUGAAGAAACUUGGGUUUGAAGGUGAGCGUUUUGUGCUGUAAUAAAUUCAAUUAAUACGCUCGAAAAACCCAAACGAUAAGGUAUGUUUGCAUGUGCAUCGAAAAAGUCGAUUCGUUUUAAAUAGUAUUCGUUUAAUCGACUAACAAACUUUCGGCUUUUAGAUAGGUUGAUACCUUGUGUGUGUAUAUGUUGAUGAAGUGCGAAGUAAGUAUGAUUAUGAGAAUGUGUAUUAAUAAAGUGAUUCAUUUAGCUAUGUGAAUGUAAUACUUUAGUCAAAGCCGAUUUCAUUACUUGAAACUUACUAAGCUUUAAAAUGCUUACCCCGUUGCUUUGGCUCUCUGUUUUAUAGAUUUUGUUCGUUAGCUAUCGAAUUCGGGAUCAUCGAAGUCGAAGUCAUCCACACUAUCAAAGCCCUUUUGGUACUCUUUUAGUUGAACUCUGGAUAUGGCAUGUAUAGGGCUACCCUUUGUUGUUUUUUUUCAAGUACUUUUUGUGAUGUAUGUGUGUACAGCCAUGCGAAAAUGGCUCGUAGAAGUGGAGUAUGGCAUUAGACCAUUUGUGUUUAUGUAUAUAUAUAUGGUUUCAUGAUGU
rnacentral:lncRNA from 1 species